ensembl:misc_RNA 7SK 7SK RNA
GGAUGUGAGGGCGAUCUGGCUGAGACAUCUGUCACCCCAUUGAUCGCCAGGGUUGAUUCGGCUUAUCUGGCUGGCUAGGCGGGUGUCCCCUUCCUCCCCCACCGCUCCAUGUGCGUCCGUCCCGAAGCUGCGCGCUCGGUGCGCGCUGGGCCGAAGAGGACGACCUUCCCCGAUAGAGGAGGACCGUUCUUCGGUCAAGGGUAUACGAGCAGCUGCGCUCCCCUGCUAGAACCUCCAAACAAGCUCUCAAAAGAAAGAAAGAAUCUGCCCAAAGAGAGAAAAUUGUUGGGAAUAUAAAAGACUUGUAAUUACCUGCUUUGAUCAUUAAAAAAGAAAAAAAGAUAGAAA